rnacentral:lncRNA from 1 species
CCCCUCACCACUCUGUUAUUAUAACAUGUAGGUGGAGCUCCUCCCACCUGUUAUUAUAUCAUGUAGGUGGAGCUCCUCCUCACCACUGUUAUUAUACAGUAGGGGAGCUCCUCCUCACCACUCUGUUAUAUACUUUAGGUGGAGCUCCCUCACCACUCUGUUAUUAUAUCAUGUAGGUGAGCUCCUCCUCACCACUGUUAUUAUAUCAUGUAGGUGAGCCCUCCUCACCACUCUGUUAUUAUAACAUGUAGGUGGAGCUCCUCCUCACCACUGUUUAUUAUAUCAUGUAGGUGGAGCUCCUCCCCACCACGUUAUUAUAUCAUGUAGGUGGAGCUCCUCCUCACCACUCUGUUAUAUACAACAUGUAGGUGGAGCUCCUCCUCACCACUGUUAUAUAUCAUGUAGGUGGAGCUCCUCCUCAUCACCUGUUAUUAUAACAUGUAGGUGGAGCUCCUCCUCACCACUGUUAUUAUAUCAUGUAGGUGGAGCUCCUCCUCACCACUCUGUUAUUAUAACAUGUAGGUGGAGCUCCUCCUCACCACUGUUAUUAUAUCAUGUAGGUGGAGCUCCUCCUCACCACUGUUAUUAUAUCAUGUAGGUGGAGCUCCUCCUCACCACUCUGUUAUUAUAUCAUGUAGGUGGAGCUCCUCCUCACCACUGUUAUUAUAACAUGUAGGUGGAGCUCCUCCUCACCACUGUUAUUAUAUCAUGUGGUGGAGCUCCUCCUCAUCACUCUGUUAUUAUUAUAA